ensembl:snRNA U6 U6 spliceosomal RNA
AUGCUUGCUUCACCAUCACAUAUACUAAUAACUGGAACAUACAGAGAAAAUUAGCAUGGCCCAUACACAAAACCAUGAAAUAUAUCUUAUUUUU